UACGGAGGGAGCUAGCGUUGUUCGGAAUCACUGGGCGUAAAGGGCGCGUAGGCGGCUUUAUAAGUCGGGGGUGAAAGCCUGUGGCUCAACCACAGAAUUGCCUUCGAUACUGUAGAGCUUGAGACCGGAAGAGGUAAGUGGAACUGCGAGUGUAGAGGUGAAAUUCGUAGAUAUUCGCAAGAACACCAGUGGCGAAGGCGGCUUACUGGUCCGGUUCUGACGCUGAGGCGCGAAAGCGUGGGGAGCAAACAGG
rnacentral:rRNA from 1 species